AUUUUGAGUUAAUAGAUGGAAAAUUUGUCGGGUUUAUAAUUGCUGUACAAAAUUUCUGAAAUUUUGUACAGUAAUUAAAAACCCAACAAAUUUUCCAUGUAUUA
rnacentral:miRNA from 1 species